rnacentral:rRNA from 1 species
AUUGAACGCUGGCGGCAUGCCUUACACAUGCAAGUCGAACGGCAGCACGGGUGCUUGCACCUGGUGGCGAGUGGCGAACGGGUGAGUAAUACAUCGGAACAUGUCCUGUAGUGGGGGAUAGCCCGGCGAAAGCCGGAUUAAUACCGCAUACGAUCUACGGAUGAAAGCGGGGGACCUUCGGGCCUCGCGCUUUGGGGUUGGCCGAUGGCUGAUUAGCUAGUUGGUGGGGUAAAGGCCUACCAAGGCGACGAUCAGUAGCUGGUCUGAGAGGACGACCAGCCACACUGGGACUGAGACACGGCCCAGACUCCUACGGGAGGCAGCAGUGGGGAAUUUUGGACAAAGGGCGAAAGCCUGAUCCAGCAAUGCCGCGUGUGUGAAGAAGGCCUUCGGGUUGUAAAGCACUUUUGUCCGGAAAGAAAUCCUUGGCCCUAAUACGGUCGGGGGAUGACGGUACCGGAAGAAUAAGCACCGGCUAACUACGUG